CAGCGGUGGAGUACAAAGCGUGUACAGCGCCGUCUCCCUGGCACCAAUAAGCUGCUGUACAGCCAGAACGAGGAGCGCUAUUACAUGGAGAGAGACGACGAAUCACUCAACCUGCUGGGUUUAGACUAUGACUAUGAUUCAGAUGACAAGGCAGAUAAAAUCAAGAACCCCAACUCCCUGCAGAACUCUCUACAGAGCGGCAAGUGGCAGCUGGGAUUCCAAGCAAUGUCCUUUGACCUCUAUGCGAAGUACGGUAACAACCGUACCCUGAGCUUGGUGAGUCCCAAGAAGCCAUACUACCAGUGGCGCCUUCGUGUCCCGUCAGGUCAUGUGGUGCGUCUGGUCGUCCUCACCCUGCACGGAGCCACACCCGGAAGCUGCUCCUCCCACAAACUGUCUGCCUAUGACUUCCUGUUGCCACUACAGAACAAGAUCAUCGCCAGGUGGUGUGGUCUCCCAGUGUCUGGCUCAUCUCCUGUAAUGAAGCUGACGUCGUCUGGUAACGUGAUGCUGGUCACCUUCUCCUUCAGCAGACAGAGAGAUGGAGCCAUCUUCAAGGCCUACUUCCAGGCCAUUCCCAAAGCAGGAAAGACACACUAUUACCACAGACAGAU
ensembl:lncRNA